rnacentral:tRNA from 1 species
GCGGCGGUAAGCUUUGUAAUUGCCUCUUUCAAGGCCUAAACGUAUGCUUACUCCUAAUGGUUACUGUUGGUUCGAAUCCAACCCGCCGCU